GAUGAAGAACGCAGCGAAAUGCGAUAAGUAAUGUGAAUUGCAGAAUUCAGUGAAUCAUCGAAUCUUUGAACGCACAUUGCGCCCGCCAGUAUUCUGGCGGGCAUGCCUGUUCGAGCGUCAUUUCAACCAUCAAGCCCUGCUUGCGUUGGGGUCCUGCGGCUGCCCGCAGGCCCUGAAAACCAGUGGCGGGCUCACUAGUCACACCGAGCGCAGUAAUACAUCUCGCUUUGGGCGUGCGGCGGGUUCUUGCCGUUAAACACCCCCUUUUUACCAAGGUUGACCUCGGAUCAGGUAGGAAUACCCGCUGAACUUAAGCAUAUCAAUAAGCGGAGGA
rnacentral:misc_RNA from 1 species